rnacentral:rRNA from 1 species
CCUACGGGAGGCUGCAGUGAGGAAUAUUGGUCAAUGGACGAGAGUCUGAACCAGCCAAGUAGCGUGAAGGAUGACUGCCCUAUGGGUUGUAAACUUCUUUUAUAUGGGAAUAAAACGUUCCACGUGUGGGAUUUUGUAUGUACCAUAUGAAUAAGGAUCGGCUAACUCCGUGCCAGCAGCCGCGGUAAUACGGAGGAUCCGAGCGUUAUCCGGAUUUAUUGGGUUUAAAGGGAGCGUAGGUGGAUUGUUAAGUCAUUUGGGAAAGUUUGGGGCUCAACCGAAAAAUUGCUGUUGAAACUGGCAGUUUUGAGUAGAGUAGAGGUAGGCGGAAUGCGUGGUGUAGCGGGGAAAUGAUUAGAUAUCACGAAGAACUCCGAUUGCGAAGGCAGUACGAUGGACUGCAACUGACACUGAGGCUCGAAAGUGUAGGUAUCAAACAGGAUGAGAUACCCUAGUAGUC